GAUCUGGCUCAGGAUGAACGCUAGCGGCAGGCCUAACACAUGCAAGUCGAGGGGCAUCACAGGUAGCAAUACCGGGUGGCGACCGGCGCACGGGUGCGUAACGCGUAUGCAACCUACCCAUAACAGGGGGAUAACACUGAGAAAUUGGUACUAAUACCCCAUAACAUCAGAACCGGCAUUGGUUUUGGUUGAAAACUCCGGUGGUUAUGGAUGGGCAUGCGUUGUAUUAGCUGGUUGGUGAGGUAACGG
rnacentral:rRNA from 1 species